rnacentral:tRNA from 1 species
AGGACGGUAGCUCAAUUGGCAGAGAAGCGGCCUCAAAACCGUUGGUUGUGGGUUCUCCUCCCUCCCGCCCUGCCA